rnacentral:rRNA from 1 species
GCUGGCGGCGCGCCUAAUGCAUGCUAGUCGAACGAGAACCGAUCAUUCGUAAGAUUGAUUUGGGGACAGUGGCGAACGGGUGCGUAACACGUGAGAAACCUGCCCUGGAGAUCGGGAUAGCCCGAGGAAACUCGGAUUAAUACCGAAUAUGCUCGCAGGACCGCAUGGUCUGGUGAGGAAACAGUCCGCUGCUCCAGGAUGGUCUCGCGGCC